GGCUCAUAUCUGUGAUCGUUGUGUUUGUGAAGAUGUCCUGAAUGAAGUGACUCCAGAUCUCCAGCUCUCAGAUCAGCUGUGGUGGAUUUCUGCUCUGAUCUUCAUUGUUCUUCUGGUUGUGGUCUGUUUCAUUCUGCGUAAAAGGAUCUUCAGGUGUUUUUUGAAGGCAGUGCCGUCUGUCUGUCAGCGUGAGGAUGAUCCAGAAAACAGGAGCGUGAAUCAGACUGACAGACAGAAAGAGAUGAAGGAUCCAGAAUCUGGUGCCCAAAUGCAGCUCAGAUCGGAUGAAUCUGAUUCACUGAUGAUCAUUCAUACAUGAAUCAAACUCAGUCGCUCAGUAGAGAGAGUUUUGCUUCAUUCUGGACAUCUAUUCUCAUUGCUGUGUCUCUUUUCAUGCAGACACAUCCCUGAUCUUGAAUCUGUUGUGUUUCUGCUGAUCUCUGAUCAUCUCAUGCAAAUCUCCAUUUUAAAAUGAUUAAUUAAAGAGUUUCAUCAGGUCAUC